GCCCUUUGCACUGUUCCGUAUCAGUGAAUAAUCACAUCAUUUAUCCACAAACUUGUCUGAAAGACUCCAGUGGUCACUUUUCAUAAGGAGCCAAGUCUUCUUGGUGCACAGGCACAUGUGUGCUUUCCCCUCUGUCUCUUUCUGUCUCUUACCUUACCACCCUUCUCCUUUCCUCCCUCAGAUGCAGACCUGCAGUAAAGCAUCCUUUCACUUCUACUUCCUGGGACAUGAUCAUGGGGCCAGAACCCCUACAGCAUCCCCUUCCUUAUCACACUGCCUACCUGAGACUUCAUUGUCAUCAAAGAGGAAUUUGAUUGGAAGCCCGAAUUUCACAUAAUCAUAAAUCUCUGCAAAGAUGAGAAAAUAGAGGCUCCGAGAAGGAAAGGGAAUGAUUCUUCUAAAUCUCCACUAAGCAAGAGAUUGGAAAUGAAGGCCAAUUCAGUGCUCUCUCAGAAUUGGGCUCCAUGCAACCACUGGGAGUACAGUUCCUUGGGAUUUAGCAAACCCGUGGUAACUGCUUUCAGGGAGAAAGCAGCCUGGAAACAACAUUAUUGACCUCUGUUAGAGAGAAGCCUGCUCACAGAUCUAACAAAAGUUCAUGUCUAAUGGAUGUGUUCUUCAAUGCCUCUCUGUAAGGCAAGAUGCCUUUAACAGCAUCUUUGAAAUUAUAGUACUUUGUUCUAGUUUCACAGUAAAUGCUCCGAUGACUAUGUGGACUCUCUUGGGUUUCUUCUUUCUUUGCUGUGCUGUGAAAACACACACUGCAUAUACAUUGUUAUUAUCAUUGUUGCUAAGAAGUAAGAGAGCAUGAGUUUCUACCCCAUCAUCUGUGCAGAGCAGAGGCAGUGAAUCCUACUGGAGCGUAAUAACAAUCUAUAAGUAAACCAGUCAUGGUAAAAUCUAUCAAAAAUGUGGCAAUUUACGAAAAUAUGUCCCUCAAGCACACCAAAGUUGUCAUCAAAGUGAGUUAGCUGCCAAUUAACUUCUACAUCUUGCACAAAGGGCACAGAAUUCUAGUGUAAAAAUGAAACCUAGUGAAAUUCUAGUGAAAAAUGAAAGUUAAUGCAUAUCUACUGUCUAUGAACAAAUAAAUCAGAAACAAAAAAUGAACA
rnacentral:lncRNA from 12 species